rnacentral:rRNA from 1 species
UUAAAAAGCUCGUAGUUGAAUUUCGGGAUCAAUAUUUCGGUCAUGCCGUUGGUAUGCACUGUUAUCAUUGAUUUCUCACCUUCUAAAGAACCGUAAUGCCAUUAAUUUGGUGUUACGGGAAAUUAGGACUGUUACCUUGAAAAAAUUAGAGUGUAGUAAAGCAGGCUCACGCUUGAAUACAUUAGCAUGGAAUAAUGAAAUAGGACAUCCGAUUCUAUUUUGUUGGUUUCUAGGAUCGAUGUAAUGAUUAAUAGGGAUAGUUGGGGG